AUUGAACGUUGGCGGCAGGCCUUAGACAUGCAAGUCGAACGGUAACAGCGGAGCUUGCUCCGGCUGACGAGUGGCGGACGGGUGAGUAACGCGUAGGAAUCUACCCAGUAGCGGGGGAUAGCCCGGGGAAACCCGGAUUAAUACCGCAUACACCCCACGGGGAAAAGAGGGCCUCUUCUUGAAAGCUCUCACUAUUGGAGGAGCCUGCGUUGGAUUAGCUAGUUGGUGGGGUAAAGGCCUACCAAGGCGACGAUCCAUAGCUGGUCUGAGAGGACGAUCAGCCACACUGGAACUGAGACACGGUCCAGACUCCUACGGGAGGCAGCAGUCAGGAAUAUUGUGCAAUGGGGGAAACCCUGACACAGCCAUGCCGCGUGUGUGAAGAAGGCCCUAGGGUUGU
rnacentral:rRNA from 1 species